rnacentral:tRNA from 1 species
GGGGCUGUAGCUCAGUGGCAGAGCUCUUGCUGAGCACGGAAAAACCUGGGGUUCAAUCCCCUGCACCCCUC